rnacentral:lncRNA from 1 species
ACAGAAACGCCGCUUGGCCUUUGGACUACACCAUCUGUCGCUCGCUCUAACGAGCCGGCGUUGCCGCCAGGGGACGCUCGGGCCGCAGGAGGUCGCUGGGUCGUGAGCUGGCGCCGGGGACGCCGAGCGACUGCGGGGUUUCCCUCAGCGUCCUGCUAUCCGGCUGCCCGCCGCGCUCCUUGGUAGUGUCCGUGGGCGCGCAGGCCUUGAAGAACCUCCUCGUGGCGGGACCCCGAGGAGAGGUGUCAAAGAGCUGGCGCGUCUCCAGAGCCCCGGGAGGAAGGCUGUAACGGCAGCCCCAUCGUAGACAGGGACAUUCGCAUCCCGAGCCCUGGAUCUCUGAAAACCAGCCCAGAAUUUGGAAGCUGGAAGGAACUUUAGAUCGUCCAUUCUGAGUGUCUCUCUUCGCUGGCGUUUUCCCACUGAGGUUAUGUAAACAUGAAGAGGAGCCUACAAGUGUCAAGGAAAAAACGACAGCUAACCACAGGGCAGGCCAUGGGCAAGAUAUCUCAGUGUUCUCCGCUCUCAUAGG